GUCUCUAUCUCAGCAGGCAGAGCAUGAGACUCUUAAACUCAGAAUUGUGGGUUUGAGCCCCACGUUGGGCA